GACGAACGCUGGCGGCGUGCUUAACACAUGCAAGUCGAACGGUGAUCCCCAGCUUGCUGGGGUGAUCAGUGGCGAACGGGUGAGUAACACGUGAGCAACCUGCCCCCGACUCUGGGAUAGCCUCGGGAAACCGGGAUUAAUACCGGAUAUGACAUCACCAGGCAUCUGGUGGUGUGGAAAGUUCUUCGGUCGGGGAUGGGCUCGCGGCCUAUCAGCUUGUUGGGGGGUGAUGGCCUACCAAGGCGACGACGGGUAGCCGGCCUGAGAGGGGCGACCGGCCACACUGGGACUGAGACACGGCCCAGACUCCUACGGGAGGCAGCAGUAAGGAAUAUUGG
rnacentral:rRNA from 1 species